AAAGAAGAAUCAAAGUUAUAUCUUUUCAAGUUUCCACGCUAAGAUCAUAUUUUCCUGAAAGAGUAUAUUCACGUAUGAGAAAAAUCAGGGGAGAUCAUGGAUGAAUUUUAGGUAUUUAUCACAAUAUCAUAGACGAAUUUACUUUUCUAAGGAAUCAAAAUAACUUCUUUAAAUUAUGAGAUAUUUAAAAGAUCUUUCUUAAAUUAAGAGAUCUUCAAAAGAUCUUCUUUAAUUUAAUAGACCUUCAC
rnacentral:lncRNA from 1 species